rnacentral:rRNA from 1 species
UGGGGAAUAUUGCACAAUGGGCGCAAGCCUGAUGCAGCAACGCCGCGUGAGGGACGACGGCCUUCGGGUUGUAAACCUCUUUUAGCAGGGAAGAAGCGAAAGUGACGGUACCUGCAGAAAAAGCACCGGCUAACUACGUGCCAGCAGCCGCGGUGAUACGUAGGGUGCAAGCGUUGUCCGGAAUUAUUGGGCGUAAAGAGCUCGUAGGCGGUUUGUCGCGUCUGCUGUGAAAACCCGAGGCUCAACCUCGGGCCUGCAGUGGGUACGGGCAAACUAGAGUGCGGUAGGGGAGAUUGGAAUUCCUGGUGUAGCGGUGGAAUGCGCAGAUAUCAGGAGGAACACCGAUGGCGAAGGCAGAUCUCUGGGCCGUAACUGACGCUGAGGAGCGAAAGCAUGGGGAGCGAACA